GAUAAACGCUAGCGGCAGGCUUAACACAUGCAGGUCGAGGGGCAGCAUAGAUUGUAGCAAUACAAUUGGUGGCGACCGGCGCACGGGUGCGUAACGCGUAUGCAACCUACCCGUCACAGGGGGAUAAUCCGGAGAAAUCUGGUCUAAUACCCCAUAACAUAUGGAUCGGCAUCGGGUCAUGUUGAAAUUUUCGGAGGUGGAGGAUGGGCAUGCGUAGCAUUAGCUUGUUGGUGAGGUAACGGCUCACCAAGGCGACGAUGCUUAGGGGGACUGAGAGGUUUUCCCCCCACACUGGUACUGAGACACGGACCAGACUCCUACGGGAGGCAGCAGUGAGGAAUAUUGGUCAAUGGGCGCAAGCCUGAACCAGCCAUGCCGCGUGCAGGAUGACGGCUCUAUGAGUUGUAAACUGCUUUUGUACAGGGAUAAAUCGGGAUACGUGUAUUCCGUUGAAGGUACUGUACGAAUAAGGAUCAGCUAACUCCGUGCCAGCCGCCGCAGUAA
rnacentral:rRNA from 1 species